UAUUUGAGACAUAGAGGAGUUUAAAGAAAUACAGCCUUAAGUUUCUUAAUGCUGCUUUUUCUUAGGUUAGGUUAGCUUAGAUAUAAAAGAAAUACAGACUUAGGUGCUUAGGUCUGCCAUUUCUUAUUCUGUUAGAUGAUUUAAAAGAGGUAUAACUUUGGGUGCUCAAGGUUAUAAUCUCUUCAAUUUGGCAGCCGAUAGAUGGAUUCUAUAGUUCUGAAAAGGACUAUGGCCCAUUCUGUUGUGCAGCCAAUUUUACUAGAUGGGGCCUGAGUAGUGAUUUGUUUUGUAGGAUGACGGUUGGGAUUUGAGUGGAGAAACACAUGCUGUCAUACAAACAUAUUCUAACACAACAGUAGUGACAUACAUUAGUGGAACUGUUCACACAACAGUAUGUGUGAAUGGGGUUUGUGGAGUAGAUGUUUAAUUUGUCUUAAGUUAUUGACUUGAGGAGAAUAUGUCUAAUUCUUUUAGUUUCAAAGUUUUUCUUUCAGCUGAUGUGGUUUCCCGUUCCAAGGCUCUCUAGUUUGGAAUGUGUAUCAGGUGAAGGAACAUGGAAGAAAAGGAUGCCAGCCAUCAAGAACUUAACACGUGACUGAGACAUGGUGAUUAAGGUGAAGUUGAUUUUUUUCUCAUUUAUGAAGAGGCCUGCAUGAUAGUGGAGUUAUUGCACACUCUGCUGCUUACCUAGUUGUCUGAGUUAAAAUCUUGGUUGUAAUGACCAGAUUUCUUCUUGGGACAAGAGUUAACCCAGCUCUAAAUGGGUACCUGGCAUCAGCUGGGGAAAACAAAGAGUUUGUUGUUUCGGAAUAGAACACUCUGGUAGAGUCCUUUCUCUCAGAAAUAGGUUGUCCAACAUACUGUAAGGUAUGAAGGAUUAAUUUCUGUGAGGUUAGUUCUUGUACACAUCUUUCCUUAACUCUUCAUCACCAGCAUACAAACGCUCUUCUCCUCUAUAGCAACACAUCUUUUCUCCACUCAGGGUUAUUUGAGACAUAGAAGAGUUUAAAGAAAUACAGCCUUAAGUUUCUUAAUGCUGCUUUUUCUUAGGUUAGGUUAGCUUAGUUAUAAAAGAAAUACAGGCUUAGGUCUGCCAUUUCUUAUUCUGUUAGAUGAUUUAAAAGAGGUAUAACUUUGGGUGCUCAAGGUUAUAAUCUCUUCAAUUUGGCAGCCGAUAGAUGGAUUCUAUAGUUCUGAAAAGGACUAUGGCCCAUUCUGUUGUGCAGCCAAUUUUACUAGUUGGGGCCUAUGUAGUGCUUUUUUUUGUAGGAUGAUGGUUGGGAUUUGAGUGGAGAAACACUUUCUAACACAACAAUAUAAAAUAGACAAUUCAUGUCCAAGUAAAAUUUCUCUGUAUUCAUUAUAAUGCUUAAGAAGACUAUUUUCACCUUGACAAUAAACAAAACAGGCUAAAAUAAAAAUCACAAUUAAACAAUCUAUAAACACACCAAUGCCUGUGACACUGAAAUGAUUAUACCCAAAGAAAAUGAUGCCAUUUUUGUUUUAUUUUACCAGAUAAAUUUUUACCAAAAUAUACAGAUCAUUGGUAGAUUAAUCUCUGCUCUGCCAUAUACAUUUCGGACAAAGCAAUGUAGAACCUAUAAACAGGUCAAAUAUUUGUCAUAGAAUCUUACAUCUGUAUUGCUCCUGAUCCAAAUAUUAAUACUUUUCAACCUAUAUGUAGACCAAGUUCUGUAGUGACACUGAAUGGCCAUGUAAAAUAAAAUUAAAAUGUUUUGUCUAUUACUGAAUCCAUUUCUACCAUAAGACUCAAGAGUAAAAAAGAAUUUAAAUGAUAAAAGUGUACACCAUAAAAAAAUGAACAACUCAUGAAGUUUUUAACAGUAGAGCUUUUAGCCAAAUAAUAUUGCAUGACACUGUAAUCUGCAAUAUCAAUGUGUUGACAAAAUCUGAUUGUUCAUUGCUACACACAUUUCAGACUAAACUGAAUAUAUAGUACAUCUUCUGGCCACCUUAAACUAUGCUAUAACAUAUUAGAGGAUAUGGCCAGAGAACUUUUUGCUUUACCAUCAUACAGUUCAUAGUGCAAACAUUUUUCUCUGUAACACAGUACAGCACUAAACAGCUUAAGAUUUUAAAAAUUACUAGAAUUCCAUAAGACAAUCACUUUUCUGGUUAGAUAAUUAACACCUAAAACAUAUAACAAGACAUAAGUUACAUGUCUACUAAAACUAUAUGUUUUGUUUAUUACUACGUAAGAUAAUGUUGAAAAAAAACAUGUAGCUCAAGAAUUAAUUAAACCAUAACUUAAUAAUGAUGUACACCAUAGAAAUGUACAACACUUGAAGGUUUCAAUACAAUUAAUGACCACAGUAUCAAUACCACCAUAACACAGUAAUAUCAAUGGUCAGAUAAAAUGUAUUUAAACUCUGUAUCUAUUUGAAAUCCAUCUAUAAAAUCAAUUUAAGGCCCAUAGACAGCUAGACGUAAUGCUCAUUACUACACAAAUUUCACAAAAUUCAACAUGGUAUAUCUUCUUGCCAGAUAAAACUAUGCUAUGACACAAUAGAGGUCAUGGCCAGAGAAAUAAAUGCUUUACUACCAUACAGUUCAUAGUCCAAAAUUAGCUCUGUAACAAAACUUAGCACAAAAUUACACAUAAACACAGUAAAGGUGAAGAGUCUAAAAAAAAACAAAAAAAAACAUUGUAAUAUAAUUCCAUAAAACAAUCUUGGUAUCUUUUGAAUACAUUAAGACUAAAAAUGUUGCAGUACAGAAAGUUACAUUACACUGAAUAAUCCAAAACAAGACAAAAUUGCUCAAUGCAUACAAUGGCCAUCUAAAACUUCAGUGUAAUUACAUUCAUUACUUUUUUGUUUGCAUUGUUCAUAUUUUAAAUGUUUUUCUUUCCAUUAAUGAAAUUUGUAUUUCAGCAAUCACAGGUUCAUACAUCA
rnacentral:sRNA from 1 species